GUAGAUGUUGUACUCUGGGUGCAGGAUCACUCUCUUUGCGUGCACAGUGCCCCCAUCUAAAGUGAGGGGGACAGAUUUGCUAGUUUCACAGAUAUAAGGUACAGUACAUGAACAUUAGAAUUGUUCAGUUUCUUUCCGUUUUCUUCCCCUC